rnacentral:rRNA from 1 species
GUCGAACGAAGUAGCAAUACUUAGUGGCAGACGGGUGAGUAACAUGUAGGUAUCUGCCCUUUGGCCUGGAAUAACACGAGGAAACUUGUGCUAAUACCGGAUAAGUCUUUACGGAGAAAGCUUUAUGCACCAUUGGAUGAGCCUGCACUUGAUUAGUUUGUUGGUGGGGUAAUGGCCUACCAAGACUGUGAUCAAUAGCUGAUUUGAGAGGAUGAUCAGCCACAUUGGGACUGAGACACGGCCCAAACUCCUACGGGAGGCAGCAGUGGGGAAUCUUGCACAAUGGAGGAAACUCUGAUGCAGCGAUGCCGCGUGAGUGAAGAAGGCCUUUGGGUUGUAAAGCUCUUUCGUCGGGGAAGAAAAUGACUGUACCCGAAUAAGAAGGUCCGGCUAACUUCGUGCCAGCAGCCGCGGUAAUACGAAGGGACCUAGCGUAGUUCGGAAUUACUGGGCUUAAAGAGUUCGUAGGUGGUUGAAAAAGUUAGUGGUGAAAUCCCAGAGCUUAACUCUGGAACUGCCAUUAAAACUUUUCAGCUAGAGUAUGAUAGAGGAAAGCAGAAUUUCUAGUGUAGAGGUGAAAUUCGUAGAUAUUAGAAAGAAUACCAAUUGCGAAGGCAGCUUUCUGGAUCAUUACUGACACUGAGGAACGAAAGCAUGGGUAGCGAAGAGGAUUAGAUACCCUCGUAGUCCAUGCCGUAAACGAUGUGUGUUAGACGUUGGAAAUUUAUUUUCAGUGUCGCAGCGAAAGCGAUAAACACACCGCCUGGGGAGUACGACCGCAAGGUUAAAACUCAAAUGAAUUGACGGGGACCCGCACAAGUAGUGGAGCAUGUGGUUUAAUUCGAAGAUACGCGCAGAACCUUACCAACACUUGACAUGUUCGUCGCGACUCUAAGAGAUUAGAGUUUUCGGUUCGGCCGGACGAAACACAGGUGCUGCAUGGCUGUCGUCAGCUCGUGUCGUGAGAUGUUGGGUUAAGUCCCGCAACGAGCGCAACCCUCACUUUUAGUUGCCAUCAUUAAGUUGGGCACUCUGAAAGAACUGCCAGUGAUAAGCUGGAGGAAGGUGGGGAUGACGUCAAGUCCUCAUGGCCCUUACGUGUUGGGCUACACACGUGCUACAAUGGUAUCUACAACAGGAAGCAAGACUGCGAAGUUAAGCAAAUCCCUAAAAGAUACCUCAGUUCGGAUUGCACUCUGCAACUCGAGUGCAUGAAGCUGGAAUUACUAGUAAUCGUGGAUCAGCGUGCCACGGUGAAUGCGUUCCCGGGUCUUGUACACACCGCCCGUCACACCAUGGGAGUUGGUUCUACCUUAAGGCAAGGCUUAAACCCUGACCAC